rnacentral:rRNA from 1 species
GAUGAACGCUGGCGGCGUGCCUAAUACAUGCAAGUCGAGCGAACAGACGAGGAGCUUGCUCCUCUGACGUUAGCGGCGGACGGGUGAGUAACACGUGGAUAACCUACCUAUAAGACUGGGAUAACUUCGGGAAACCGGAGCUAAUACCGGAUAAUAUAUUGAACCGCAUGGUUCAAUAGUGAAAGACGGUUUUGCUGUCACUUAUAGAUGGAUCCGCGCCGCAUUAGCUAGUUGGUAAGGUAACGGCUUACCAAGGCGACGAUGCGUAGCCGACCUGAGAGGGUGAUCGGCCACACUGGAACUGAGACACGGUCCAGACUCCUACGGGAGGCAGCAGUAGGGAAUCUUCCGCAAUGGGCGAAAGCCUGACGGAGCAACGCCGCGUGAGUGAUGAAGGUCUUCGGAUCGUAAAACUCUGUUAUUAGGGAAGAACAAAUGGGUAAGUAACUAUGCACGUCUUGACGGUACCUAAUCAGAAAGCCACGGCUAACUACGUG